CAGGUGUAAGCACAGUAAUGUGUUCAGCCGAGUGAUACUAAUAGAUCAAUUGUCUUUACU
rnacentral:rRNA from 1 species